rnacentral:lncRNA from 1 species
GAACAGGAAUACAGGUCACAAGGAAGAUUCAAAGGUUGCAUCAUUAUUUAGACUGAUCUUUUUCUGGUCUGACUCCUCACUCUCAAGUGCUCCCCAAGUCCACAACCCUCAAGCAUGAAGUCUCCAACUUGCAAUUUGGACAGAAUCAUGGGAAACUUACAUGUCAGUCAUCAUCAUCAUCAUCUUCUUCUUGACAAAGUGCAGAAAUUUCUACAACUUGAUAUAAUUGGAUGCAAAAAAUAAAAUCUUUAGAUGGCUAUUGCCCUCUCCAAAAAGCUCUGUUAAACAUCUCAGACAUUAUGUGAGACUAAAUAUGUUGCCCAUUGGCCCAAAACCUACUAGCUUAAACUUUUAAUUUAGAGUCAUGUCCAACUAUCAUAUUCAUGGUCAGACACAUUGUGUUAACCAAUAACCUAUACAUUAUGAUACAUUUAUUAAAGAUGUAGCAGUCCAUCCUUUGCUCUAUUGAUUAUAUGCAUAACAAAGAGCCGGUGACUCGAGCGACUUGCAAUUUCUUUAAAUAUUUACCUAAUUCCAGUCUAGAGGAAUUACUUGAUGUUUAGAAAGAUAUAGAGGAGCCUCUUAAGUUUCAAGAAAAAUAGAAGAGAUAAAAUCGCUUGUGUAUCAUAUCGUUGCGAUAACUAGUGUAUACAUGAUCAUACCAUCUAUAUGAAAUACUGAUCAUUCAUCAACAAUUUCAAGUACAAGACCUGAUCACUUAGAUAAUUCUUAUUAAUAAAUGAAUUAUCAGAGUUCAAAUCUGAUGAUAGGCCUGUUUUGCAAUGAGUAAAUGGAGAAAAUUCAACUUGUCCUGGAAGCUGGAAUCCAUGGUUCAAAGUUCCUUGAAUGCUGAUGGACAUAUCUACCAUUAUGUUUUGUCUUCUGAGAUUGUUUCGAUAUGUACAAAGUAGAUGCAUGUCUAUAGGGACUCCAAUCAAGUAGCUAAAUGAAUAGCUUCAGAUUUUAAAUGUAGUCAGAGCUUCAUCAUCCACAUUUUUAUGCAUCUGAAGCUAAAGAAGAGCCAAGAUCUUCACCAGAGAAAACCUGAGGGAGCAUAUGCAGAGACAGUCAACAUGUAACUGUGGCAAUGAAGCCAGGAUAUAUCCCAAAAGGCUGCCAUGUCUACUUCUUGACGAUGAUAACAAUUGCAACUCUUAAUAUUCUAAGUCUCAUAUUCUGUGAUCUUUCAAGUUUUUUUCUGGCUUUUGCUAAUCAACUUUACCACUUGUCUACAUGAUCAUUUAUCAAGACAAUUAGUGAUUUGCAGUUAUGACCAGUAAGAGUGCCUACUGGUUGAUGCCAAUGAUCUUUCUUGAUUAUGAGGUGAAGAUUGAGGAAGUACAUGAUCUUUCAACAUCAAAGUUCAGUGAGUGAAUUCACUUGCAAGCUCUGUGGUAAUGAGAUUAUUUUUUUGCUGAUAUUAGUAAAAUAGAGAAUAUAUUUGAAGGUUUUUUUUUAUUCCUUGAUUUAAAGAGACUCUAAGCUGAUAUAUGAAAAUAUUUUAUUAAACUAAAUAAAAAAUACUUUUAUAUUUUUUUGUAACUGUAGUUCACUAACGAUGUUGUUAGGGGAUAUGAUGGAUGUUGUAGAUGAGGAAAGUGAUGACUGUCUCUUAGUAGUACUAACGUCCAUCGUCAUUAAUUGAGAUGUUAAAAUUAUUUUAUAUUUUUAUAUAUAAAAUCAUAAUGUUAAAAUAGAUGUAAAUAUUUUAUUUUUUUAAUUAUAAAAAUAUUAAUAUAAUUUUUUAAAAUAUAAAUAUUAAAAUAUUAAAAAAAUUAAUUAUAAAAAGAAUAGUCUAUAAUUAAACCUCCCACAGGAUUUAAUGCGGAGGUGUUGAAGGCUAAUUAAGAGGCCAAAACCAGGGUUUACCCGAUAACUAAGGGAUUUAAUGUAAUGACCGAUUAAGUCCUCCGCGCUACUAUUUCUGCAUGGGCGGCUCCCCGCGUCUCCCACCGCCGCCUCUUGCUCCUCCUCCCCGGCUCCGGCGGUCGGUAGUGUCGCUGCCCUGCGGUUCUCUUGGCCAUGAGUCGUGCCUCUUCCAGCUCGUUUUAGUUCGGACUCGUCCUUCUCCUACCCCGAUCUGUCUCCUGGGUACUCUCCUCUGAAGUAAAAAUCGGAUUUUUCGCGGGGUUUUGCCCUCUUUUCCCGCUGCUCGAUCUCUUAAACAAAACGUUAUGGGGUUUUCACUGGCUUUCAUGGUUUCGAGGGGUUUUGGCUGCGAUUCCUCGUAAAAUGUUAGUCCAUUUCGGCUUUUUAGGAAAGAUAUAGUCUUUCUGCCAAAAAAUGUCAAAAGAUCUUUCUGUUCUAUCCAAAAACUCUACCCUAAUGCGAUUGCUUUCUGGACAUGGAAAAGAGAUAUUUUCGAUUCAUUUAUUGAUUUUGCUGUAAUAAAUUCUGAAGUUUAUGGGAAGAAAGCGUCAAAAGAUCCCUUUUAAUGGAUUAAAGUUUAUGCUCCAAGUGAUUCAUUAAGUGGGUUAACAUUUGUUUUGUACAUUUAUCACUGAUUUAAACAGACUUAAUGCUAAUAUGCAAUCCUCGGUGUAAGAAGUAAGAUGGUCGAAAUAUACGUCGAGGCCAAUAAUAAUUAGAUGCAAAUGAUCCAACCACAUCAUUAGAUUGGAUGAGUUGCUGCAGUGUUUGACAAGGAUUUAGCUGCAAUCCGAUUAAUAAUUCUUUUAUCAGCUAUUUACAUAGUUAUGGUUUAUUUUACUUAAGUUAGCCUGUGUGUCUAAUGUGGAAGCCAUCUCUCACAUACAUAGAAUGGAGGACAUAUGCACAAGUAGAAGGGUAAACUAGGAUAUCUCCGUUUAGUUUCUUUUGUUUCUCAUGUUGAAUGUGCAUUGAUCAGGAUACAAGUUUCGACAUGGCCGAAAUGCUGGUGAUCAGAGAGAAAAAUGAAGUGAAGAAUGGAAAUAAUGAGCCUGUUGAUGCUGAUGAUGACGAAGAUGGUGAUGUUGGGGAGGGUGAAGAUGAGUUGUCUGAUGACAAUGGGGAGGAAUAUGAGAACCCCGAUACCGAUAAUGGCAAGAAAAAUCCAGGUGGAGACGAUCAGAAGGGAGAGGGAGAGGAGGAGGACGUUGAGGGUGAAGAUCAUGAGGAGGAGGACGACGAAGAUGGUGUAGAGGAGGAUCGGGAGGACAAGGAUAAAAGAGGAAGACGAGAAAAAGAAGAAGAGAGACAUGGUUUUAGUUGUAGUUUGUUUUGUUCUUUCAAGAUCAGAGCAGACUUCAAGCACAGCCAUUAGGAAAUAAAACAAGAAAACUCAUGCGUGCAGCUCUAUUUUAGUAUCAGAAUUAGAGACAAAUGCAGCUCAAUUAUUCCUCAUCUAACAUAGCUUGAAUACUUUUUCUUUCUGCUCAUCUUUGCUGCUCUAAUUUAGUAUCAGAAUUUUCAAAACAUAGACUCAAAUGCAGCUCAAUUAUUCCUCAUUCAACAUAGCUUGGAUAAGUUCUUUGUGGAAAAAUGUAGAAUAUAUCUUGAAAAUGAGACAGAAGCUGGUUUUGUGGGGUAGAAUUAAGUCAUGCAGGUGCUUCUACUGCUGCUUCUCUCUACAGAAUCAAAUCAUAGCUUGAAGUUUUCUGAUGAUGGGUUAAGUGAAUUGGAUUGAAGAGGAGAUAAACAAGGAAUACAGAUAUCACCAAUGUCAAAUCUAAUUUACAAAUGUUUGUGUGAAUUUUUAGUACAUAUUUCCACACUUUUUAAAAUUUUCCUUGCUCUACAUUUCAUUUUUUUCAGUCUUGAAACUAAUUCUAACUUAGGAACAAAAACAUAGCUAUAGAUUGACACAAUCAAGUAAAUAAAUUACAUACAUAUUAUUUACCUAGAUAUUCCUUUCACUAGUAUGCUGUUUCAAGUUGAUUCUCAAAAUAUUUUUUAUGUCAAAUUAUUUGGUGAAUUAUUGGGUCCGAGUUAACCAAAUCAGCUGAACUGAAAUAUGAGACAAUCACAGUCAGUUUAAAUUUUUUUUGCUUACAAGACUUUGGCAUCGACUGUGAUACCAUUAACAAUGAUUAAGAAUGGAUUUGAUUCACAGAAUCAAUAGUUCGAAUACUAAUUGGACACAAGAAAUAAAUUGAGAACUAACUUGAAAUAGCACCCAAAGUCAAAGAGCUACCUAAGAAGUUUAGCCUUUGUGUAUUUACAUUCACAUACAUACAUACAUACAUUCAUGCAUAGCAUAUCUGUGUCUGAAGUCAGCAAUAUUAAGAAGAAGACUAGACAUUUAGGCUGUCCAUGAUAGAGGUGUAAAGCACAGAGUGUUGUGAAGUCUAUCCAUUAUAAAAUUGACCCUACUGUGCCUACCACCAACAUCUCCAUGUUAAUAGCCUUAUCUGAUUUCGGCAUCACAAAUUAGAUAGAUUUACUUUACAUAAUGGCAACAAAAUCUUCCAGUCCAAAUCCAUUUUCAAAAAAUGACAAUCAAGCAGAUUCUCUUCUGAAGAAACUGAGUCUAGUAUAAAUAGAGAUCCUACCCUUCACAACUUUCCUUUCAUGAAGAAACUUUGAAUCAGAAAGCUGAAAUUCUGUAAGAUCUCCACCCAACAACUGUCUCUAUUGGAAGUCUCACCUCCCUCUCCUCCCACUGGCACAAGAUCAGCACUUGAAAAUAACGGCAGUUAAGAGCUUAAAGAUGAUGGUAGAUCUUCAAUUCUUCUCCAACAUCAUCAUGUCUUCUCGGUCCAACAGUAAACAAUGGCAGAUAAGUUUCUACUUCGACUUGCCCUGUUUCCUCUUCUAUUGGUUGAGUUUUAUCUCAUGGUUUGAUCAGUUUCAGAUGACCGGCUGGGAAUCAGUGCAAGAUGGCAGCAGCCACUACGAUUACAUUGAUAGAUGCUACACAAAAGUAGACUGCAUGGUCCCCUGCGAAGCAUCUGGCCACUCACCAGGCACGGUGCUGCGUGUCCCUGAUUCCACGUCCAUGGCCUAGUUUGCUGCUGCCUCCCUGCAUGAUUUUAGGGAGAAUUCAAGCAGUGUUAUCUUCUAACUCAAACUUAUAUCUACAUUGCACACAGUUUGAGUUGAUGUCUCAUGUAUUAAAAGCAGGAGCAACAAGGUCUCAACUGUAACUUCAAUCUAUCAAUUAUAAGAAGGUUUUUGGUAUAAGAAAGGAAUUCAAGUCAAUGGAAAACUACUGAAAUGUGUCUGAAAAUGGAUACCAAUUUCAACUGUAACUUCAAUCCAUUGAUUUGGCUUAAGAAAUUGAAUCGAGUCAAUGGAAAACUACUAAAAUGUGUCUGAAAAUGGAGACCAAUUUCAAUUAUAACUUCAAUCCAUUGAGUUGUUUUAAGAAGGUUUUUGGCACUGGAAAUGGAAUCGAGUUAAUCGGAAACUACUGAGAUGUGUCUGAAAUCAGGAAUAAAUAUUCACAUCUGACUCUAGUUCAUGAUCAAUGACGUGAAGCCUUAAUGAAAAAUGCAUGCUCAUGAUGUAUGUGCAGGUACGGUCACAUAGCGUGUUCAGGCUGUAGUCUUGCAUUAGCAGAAGGGAUGAAGAGACAUGCAUUAGCAACAUGCUAAGCUCAUUAUUCCUCGAACUAAAUGGAGAAUGAUGUAAAGAACAAAACCAAAGAAAAUCUAGGAUGUUCCUUUGACUUCUUCCUUUACAGCCGAGAAAAUUUCUUCAACAGAACAACUCGAUAUAUGGAAUUAUCCUGGGGUACAUGAAUUUCUCUAUAUAAGGAGCAAUUGUGGCAGGGAAUAUGCUGCCUGAUUAUAGAUAAGUGAUGGUAUACAUACUUUAUUUGCGUUAAAGAAAAAUAAAGGUAAUUUUUUGCUCAUUACCUAUAUAUACCUGAAGAAGUUCAUUUUGCUUCAGACCUAUGCCAGCAAGUUACAGAUUUCCUAGACACAAGAAAAAGAAAAGGGUUACGGCAACAAGGACUUUCAUAUAUAGAUUUGGUUUUUAUGUAAAUAAAGGGAUAGGUGCUGAAUUCUGGGAAUAUAAAAUUUCUAACCUGUAAAAAGUAAAUUUAUGGUUGUGCUAAGAUAAAAGGUCGUCACAUUUGAGGUUGGACUAUCCUCUUUCCCAAUAUUUCCUUCUCCAGAUAACAUUGUUCUUUUGGGUCUCAGCCUUAGAAUCGGAUCUCAUGUAUCCUAAUUCUUCCCUGUUGAUAGCAUAUAUCAAAAUUUACAGCAUCCAGACUUGUCUUUUGCUAGGCCUGGAUCUCCUGAAUAAGAUCGUUCAUCUGUAUGGUUCCAGAGUUUAUCAUUGAAUAAGCAAAACAAUUAUCGAUAUGCUAGAUGGAUUCUACCAAAAAUCUUUGCAUGAGCAGAAGCCAUAUCUGAAGUGAUGAAAGCGAGUAGCAUCUCGCACAAUGAUUUCCCGUCCUACGAUUUUGGAUAUAAACUUUAUUGCAGAGUGACAGUCCUUGCAGACUCUUAGGUUCUUCAUAAUCCUCAAAGUUGUGUUCUCAGGAGUACUGAUCAACCCAAAAGCAAUAGCAAGCUUUUCGCUGUGAUGACUAAGUAAUUGCUCCUUCAACUCCUCAUCAAUGUCGUGCAAGACAGAUUGGGUAUCAGGAACAAAACCUGCUUUCUUAAUCUCCUUCCAGAGCUUUGCAGCCAUCUGAUAUAUUGCAUCCCUCUGUGGGUGCAAUCCAUCAUCAACUCCGAAGACAUGAACCUUGUUCUUUAUGUGUGUCCAGCUAAACCCUUGCUCUUUCUUCACUCUUUUAUCCUUCAUUAGCUUCCAAAUCUUAGCAGCAUCAUCCCAUUUCCCACAUGCAGAAUAUACAUUAGCAAGUGCAGAAUAAGCACCACUGUUAACAGGAUCGAUAGCCAGCAAUCUUUCUGCCGCAACCUUUGCCAAGUCAGCAUCUUUCUGAACUUUGCAAGCAGCCAGAAGGGACCCCCAUGCUAUGGCAUCUGGUUCUACUGGCAUCGUUUUGAUGAACUCUUGGGCAUCCUGAGUUAAACCAGCACGCGCAAACAGAUCAAUCAUGCAUGAAUAAUGGCUUUGUGCGGGUUGGAUCAUAUACUUAGUCUGCAUCUGUUGAAAAUAAUGCCUCCCUUUCUCAACUAGUCCUGCAUGUGUACAUGCUGAAAUCACACCAACAUAUGUUAUAUGGUCGGGCCUCACGCCUGUGCUAAUCAUAUUUUCAAACAAGACUAUAGCUUCUUCUCCUAGUCCAUGUUGAGCCAAAGCUAUGAUCAUUGAGGUCCAUGAGACAGUUUCUUUACUCUGACAUAUCUGAUCAAACACUGUCUUUGCUCCUGCAAUGCUUCCAGAUCUAGCAUACAUGGUAAUAAGGGCAUUGCUCACAGAAACUGACAGUCCUGUUGAUCUGAUAGCUCUGCAGUGAAUCUGCUUGCCAUGAUCCAAGGAUGCCAAGCUCGAACAAACACUCAGUAUUGCAGCCAGCGUGUAAUGGUUUGGCUUAGGACCAUUGUCAACCAUCAACCUAAAGAGAUCCAUGGCUUCACUAUUGAAACCAUUUUGAACAUACCCAACAAUCAUAGCUGUCCAAGCAACAACAUCCCGAUAAUUCAUCAAGUCAAAGAUUUCUCUAGCUGGUUGUAAGUCUCCGAGCUUAACAUAACCCUCGAGGAGUGCAGUAAAGGAUACGACACUAAGAUCAGAAGCCAUUGUUCGUUCAAGAACCCUUCGAGCAAUUGCUACCCCACCAGACUUGGAGUACAUUGAGAUCAAAGCAUUCCCAACCUGCCCAUGACAUGGCAUUUCAGUUCUGACUAUACGGGAAUGGAUCUGCUUUCCCACUCUCAACAGUCCUAGGAAAGCACAAGCAGAAAGAGCACUGGUUAACGUGAAAUUAUCAGGGACCACAGACUGUUCUUUUAGCAUACGCGAGAAGAACUCCAAUGCCUCCUGAUUCAGGUUAUUCUGAUUGUAUCCUGCAAUGAUCGCAUUCCAAGUGACAAUGUUACGAUCAGUCAUCUCGUCGAAUUGGUCCUGAGCAAGAUCCAUUCUUCCAGACUGAGAAUACAUCGAAAUCAUAGAAUUCCAACUCGAUACACUCCUCAAUCUCAUCAUAUCAAAAACAGCCUUUGCAGUCUCUACGUCCCCCGACUUUCCAUACAUGUUGAUCAGGGAAUUAGCUACGACAACAACACCACUCAGCCCAAGCUUAGCCACAAAAGAAUGCACCUUUCUACCCACGUCCAACGCCUCGAGGGCUGCACAGGAUGAGAGCACAUUAGUAAAUGUGAACUGUGACGGUGGCACUCCAAACCGAACCAUCUCCAGGAACACAACAACCGCCCGUUCAAAUUCUCCCAUCAGAUUCAAUCCCACAAUCAUCGUGGUCCAAGAAACAGAGUCCCUCUGGGGCAUUUCAACAAACACCUUAUUCGCCCUUCCAAUCAUACCACCUUUUGCAUACAUGGCCAGCAAGGUAUUCCACGAGAACGCAUUCUUGAGAUGCAUCCCGUCGAAAACAUUGUGGGCAUCGGUAAAAAAUCCAAACUUAGCGUAGAGAUUGAUGAUAUUGUUCACGAGGUAGACGCCGAGGUGGAGGCCGGCCUUGACGACAUGUGCGUGGAUGGAUCGGCCGGCGGAGACGUUCUCGGUCCGCACGCACGUCUGAAGGAGAAAAGCAUAAAAGUCUGCAGGAGGAGAUGGCCGGGAAUGGAUCGACCGAAGCCGAGUGAGAGACAUAGAAGAAGAAGAACCACAUCAAGGCAGAGUGCUUCAGUUUAUAUNNNNNNNNNNNNNNNNNNNNUAUAUAUAUAUAUAUAUAUAUAUAUAUAUAUAUAUAUAUAUAUAUAUAUAUAUAUAUAUAUAUAUAUAUAUUUAUAUUUAUAUUUAUAUUUAUAUAAAAUAAAUUUUAAGUUCAAUCAUAUUAAAUUUCUAAAAAAUGAUUUGUAUAUUAAGAUAAUUAUGAAAUUUAAGAUCGAUUUUUCCAAAAAAAACAAUGAAGAAUCCCUUAAUGGAUCUUCUUAUUAGGAACAAAAAAAAGACAUUAAUAAAAUAGAGAAUUCAAGAGGAUAAUUAAUUAGGUAUAGCUUUAUAUUUUGAAAUCAUAAAUCAAAUUGUACAACCUCAAAACCAACCAAUCUAAACAAUUUACUUAAUUUUUUUAUUUCCAUAUUUAUUAAAACAGAGUUGGCAAUUGAUUGGUUAAUCAAGAGACGAUUUUGGUACUCAUUGAACUUAAUAAUAUAUUUUUAUUGAACAAAAAAAUAUUUUAAAAUCAUAUGUUAGCUCAAACUCCAAUUGAACAGAUAAUUAAGAUUAAAAUCCAUCUUUGACUUCAAAUUUAAUUUGAUUUAUUCUCUAACCUUUACAUUUACAGAAAAGAAAUGAAAAGAUAAUACCUCUUUAUUUCACAUGCAGCCAGGAAAACCUUUCUUGGCGCAGUAGCCAGGAAGAUUCUUCCACAUGCAGAUUUGAAGAACAUGUACACAGUUUCCUUGUCAAACUUCCUUUUGACUAGUGUUGACUAUUCCAAUACAGCUUCCUUGUCAACCAAGCCACCAUCCAUCCUUCAUCUCCUAUAAAUCCUCAUUCAUUCAUUCAUUCAUGACUCCAGUACUACAAAACUAUUCCACAAAGAGAGAGAGAGAGAGAGAGAGAGAGAGAGGAAUCCAUUUGGAAUCUCUCAUUGUUUUGGUCCUGGUCAUGGCUUUUGUAGGGUAUGAUGUUGCUGAAAUAUAUGUAGAGAGGAAACUCUUCAAGGAGAAGAUGGAAAGAAGGGAGAAAGCGUUGGAGGGAGAAGACCUCAAUGGCAGAAGAGACCAACAGAAAGGAGGUAGGGAAAAGAAGAGAGGAGGAAACUUCAAAUGGAGGAUCUUUAGCCUAGUCAAGAAAAUACACCCCAAGCUCAGUGAAGAAGGAUAAUGCUUCUUCUAGUUAAUGUACAACUCUUCUGGAUUCACCAUUACUGUGCUCAUGAAGAAGAAAUCUUUGCUCUCUUGUUUGUAGAGAUUAAACUUGUGUUGCCCAUCUGGAAUUUGUAGGGAAAAUAUUUGAUUUCUCUUGUUUGUCACCUCUUUUCAUUUGUUCUUUUGUUGUCAUUGAAUUUUGUAAAACAAAAACUAAUUUUUAGUAAACUCUUUUUUGAAACUAAUGACUAAUCGAAUCGGAGAGAUUUGAAAGCCAACCCUCUGUCAUUUUGACUUACUAACUAAAGGGUUUGAGUGUUAAAAACACUAAAAUACCUUAAAUUUUGAAGAGUGUUAAAGAACUUUUUUUUUAUAUUAUAAAGAUGAAAGACAAGAAAACUAUGUUGAUGUAAUUAUUCUCUUUCAUCUCUUCUCACCAUCUUCCUAUUUCCCUCUCUCAUCUGUCUCCCUCUCUGAUCACCAUCCUUUCUUUUCAUAUUCUAUCAAUCUCAAAAUCUAGAAAAAGCAGGGAUUCAGUCACUUGUUCUUGUGGGCUGCCCAGUUCUACAAAAUUUGACACUAAAGUAGUGCAAAUUCCUCAGCAUGCUUAAAUAUUUGAAGAGAUUAAAC